AGUGAACGCUGGCGGUAGGCCUAACACAUGCAAGUCGAACGGCAGCACAGUAAGAGCUUGCUCUUACGGGUGGCGAGUGGCGGACGGGUGAGGAAUACAUCGGAAUCUACUUUUUCGUGGGGGAUAACGUAGGGAAACUUACGCUAAUACCGCAUACGACCUACGGGUGAAAGCAGGGGAUCUUCGGACCUUGCGCGAUUGAAUGAGCCGAUGUCGGAUUAGCUAGUUGGCGGGGUAAAGGCGCACCAAGGCGACGAUCCGUAGCUGGUCUGAGAGGAUGAUCAGCCACACUGGAACUGAGACACGGUCCAGACUCCUACGGUAGGCAGCAGUGGGGAAUAUUGGACAAUGGGCGCAAGCCUGAUCCAGCCAUACCGCGUGGGUGAAGAAGGCCUUCGGGUUGUAAAGCCCUUUUGUUGGGAAAGAAAAGCAGCAGGUUAAUACCCCGCUGUUCUGACGGUACCCAAAGAAUAAGCACCGGCUAACUUCGUG
rnacentral:rRNA from 1 species